GGGCCCCUUCUAUCCUUCCAUCAGAUGUGCACCGGCCAGUUUGCAUGCAGAGAAGCUGGAGGACACUGGGGAGUGGUGCGGAGUACUGGGGGAUGGAUGGGACCUGCUCCAGAUCCACAGCUAAGUCUGGUUGAGGAUCUGGGGCCAUGGGAGAGGGUUCUCCACAUUUUGAGGAUGCUAAGCAAUUCCAGCUCUCCUUUGGGAAUGCCCAGGGUGGAGGGACAGAGCAGCAGAUCUGGGACCAGCAGAACACCUGUGGUCAUUUGUAUCCCUCCAUCCCAAACUGAGAUCUGCCCAUGCGUAAAUCUGGAUCUUGGGUGGGCUUCUGUACAGCCAGGAGCUGGACUCAAUGAAGGAUUUGGAGCACAAGCCAUAUGGGGAGUGGCUGAGGGAACUGGGGUUGUUCAGGCUGGAGAAGAGAAGGCUCAGGGGAGACCUUACGGUUCUCUACAUCAACCUGAAGGGAGGUUGUGGUGAAGUGGGGGUCGGCCUCUUCUCCCAGGUAACAGCAAUAGGAUGAGAGGGAAUGGCCUCAUGUUGCACCAGCGGAGGUUCAGGUUGGAUAUCAGGAGUAACUUCUUCUCUGAAAGAGCCGUAAUGCACUGGCACAGGCUGCCCAGGGAGGUGGUGGAGUGUUCCAGAGCCGUGUGGAUGUGGCACUGAGGACAUGGCCAGUGGGCACGGUGGGGAUGGGCUGGCAGCUGGACUGGGUGAUCUUGGAGGUCUUUUUCAACUUUAAUGACUCUGUGAUUCUAUCUCAGUUUGCUCCCUGCCUCCUACAGUGCCGUGCAGCUGGACUUGUCAGCGUCCACAAAGGGCUAACAGACAAGACCAUGACACAAAGGCUUCAUGCUCUUUGUAGACUAUUGCUUCCUCUGACGCCCUUCAGAAGAGCUGGGAAAAGAUGUUUAUGCAGAACACAAAAGGUCUGAGGAUGUGAAUUGGAUGCAGAGGGAUGAAGCCCAGCGUGACAUAAAUGCCCUGCGAGUUGAAUGUUCCCAUUGAUCAGCAUCUCCCGCUUUGUGUAUGGGGAUGCUUUCCACCACGGAGGACCUAUUUAGCCAGGGACUGCUACAGUUGCAACCUCAUGGCACCUCACCAAUCCCUGGUUAAAUGUGGGGCUGGAGGAGGAGGAGGAAGGGGCUACAUGAGUCAAAGCAGCAAAACACAGCAG
rnacentral:lncRNA from 1 species